AUCUCGCGUGGUGGUGCAUUGUGGCCUAUAAAUAUCACUCCCCUACCGCCACAUUCCUCAUUCAAAUUUUCUUAUAACGAAGUGAAUCGCACUCUUCUCUCACUUUGAGUUUGCGACUCUGGAAUUCUGCUACCAUGGUCGUUGCACAGAAAGUUAAGGAAGCUGAAAUCACCGAGCAGGAUUCACUUCUUCUCACGAGGAACCUGCUCCGAAUUGCCAUAUUCAACAUCAGUUAUAUCAGAGGACUAUUUCCUGAGAAGUAUUUCAAUGAUAAGUCUGUUCCCGCGUUAGAGAUGAAGAUAAAAAAACUUAUGCCGUUGGAUGCUGAGUCUCGUAGAUUGAUUGAUUGGAUGGAGAAAGGCACGAUUAAGCUAUUGUCUAACUGAACUUGUAGGUGGCGAUUUUGUGUUGCUUGUGAUGCGUUUUUUUUUUGUUUUUUUCUAUCCUAUUUAUCGAUUUUGCAGGUGUAUACGACGCCUUACAGAAGAAAUACCUGAAGACGCUUCUGUUCUGUGUGUGCGAAGCAGUGGACGGACCGAUGGUUGAGGAAUAUGCAUUUUCAUUUAGCUAUUCAGAUUCUGAUAAUCAAGAGGUGUCGAUGAAUAUCAACCGCACUGGAAACAAAAAGAACCGGGGGACCUUCAAGUGUAAUUCGACUACAGAAGUUACUCCCCAUCAGAUGAGGAGUUCUGCGUGUAAGAUGAUCCGAACUCUCGUUCAGUUGAUGAGAACUCUGGAGAAAAUGCCAGAAGAGCGCACUAUUAUGAUGAAGCUCCUCUACUAUGAUGAUGUGACGCCAGCUGAUUAUGAGCCUCCUUUCUUCAAGGGAUGCACUGAUGAAGAAGCUUAUCAUCCAUGGGAGAAGAAUCCAUUGAAAAUGGAGGUUGGGAAUGUAAACAGCAAGCACUUUGUGUUAGCUCUGAAGGUGAAGAGUGUGCUCGACCCUUGUGAGGAUGAUAAUGAGGGAGUCCAAGACGAUUUCAGCGCUGGAGAUGAUUCCAUGCAACAGAAUGAAUAUUAUGAUACUGACAGUGAGGUUUAUCUUACUCAAGGGAAUCGAUAUAUAGUUGCUCCUAUAGACAAUACCCAGGACCCGGUGGAAGAUGAGCAACAACUGGUCCGGGUCAAGGAGUGGAUCAACUGUUGUCACCGUGACACUAUCGAGUUUAAUGAUGUUCUAUCGAAUUUUCCAGACAUCUCCGUGGUUCUAUCCGAAGAGAUCACAGACAAGCUUGUUGAGGAGGGUGUGCUAUCAAAGAUAGGGAAGGAAACCUACGCCAUUAACAAGGACAAGAACCUUGAAUAUGAGUUCGCCAUUGUGAAGGAAGAAAUUGACGGUCAAAUUCCUCAAGUCUUUGACAGAGCUUUGCAGGUUGAAGAUCGCAUAUACAUGAAAGCUCUCUAUCAUGUUCUUCCGAUGACACACGUUUCAGUCACUAAGCUUCAAAGCUUGCUUGAGGGAGAAGUAAACCAGAUAGCAGCACGAAAGAUCCUAGAUAAAAUGGUGCGGCAUGGAAUUAUUGAACCCAAAGGCAGCAAAAGAUUAGGGAAACGUGUUAUCCAUUCUGACUUAACUGAAAGGAAAUUCAUUGAAGUCCAGAAAGCUCUAAGUGCUACUACUGAAGCAAUGGAUGUUGAUCACUGUGAACCAAAUAGCAAGUCCAAAAAAACUGGUUUCCGUUUAAAUGGAAGCAACUAUGACGUGUCUACAUAUGGGGUUCUCCACUCCAUUGGAUCAGAUUUAACACGAAUGAAAGUGACAUCUGAGACAAACUAUAAUGACUCCGGGAAUGGACAGAAAGCAUCAAAGGCAAAAGAGCCCGGGAACACCCCCAUAAGCAGGCCAGUUAUUUCAAGAGAGAGUUUUGCGCAAGGCAAAGAGAACGGAAGAACAAAUGGAAUAGCAAAUCAAGGGGACGAAGCUGAUACAAUCAUAUGCAGCAAGUCUUCCCAAGACAAACGACCAAGGAAAACUAGCGCGGCGAAGGAGCCUAUCCAUCAAAACAUGAAGCGACAGAGAUCUGAGGCUCAGUGAACCUGAAUUCAGGUCCCUGAAUAUUUGCGGAUAAUAUAGUAACAAAUUCUGGCCUGUUUGUGAAUCCUGACAUAAACAUGGAUCCCGGUCGCUCCACUCCGAAGAAGGUUCUCAAUUUUCGAGAAACCGCCACGUGGCUUCUGGAAGCAGCAAGUUUGGUCUAGAAAGAUCCCAAGGAGUCGGUCCGAAC